AUUGAACGCUAGCGGGAUGCUUUACACAUGCAAGUCGAACGAGUGGCGGACGGGUGAGUAAUAUAUCGGAACGUGCCUAGUAUCGGGGGAUAAGUACUCGAAAGCGUGGCAACUACCGCAAACGAUUGGAUCGGCCGUUAGCGGAUUAGCGAGUUGGGGGGGUAAAGGCUCACCUAGGCAACGAUCCACAGCUGGUUUGAGAGGGCGACAAGCCACACUGGGACUGAGACACGGCCCAGACUCCUACGGGAGGCAGCAGUGGGGAAUUUUGGGCAAUGGUGGAAACCCUGAUCCAGCCAUCCCGCGUGUAUGAGAAGGCCUUCGGGUUGUAAAGUACUUUUGUCAGAGAAGCGGUAUCUGCAGAAAAAGCACCGGCUAACUACGUGCCAGCAGCCGCGGUAAUUC
rnacentral:rRNA from 1 species